CAAAGAAUGGAAAUUUCCAAUUGCAGCAUCAAGGGCUGCUGUUCUGCUGACUGUCUUGCUCAGCCAGGGUCAUCUGCUUCUCUAAGACAUCAAGGAAUGCCAAGCAACUAGGUAAAGGAAGAGGCAAUUGGUUUGGUGGCCUCCACUGAUGGCCCAGAGGAACUAACAACCGAUGGGCUCGGGACUAGUUCCUACACGCUUCCGAUUCUCAGUCUGAGGCACAAACAGAGCCCAAGAAGAAUUUGACCAUUCAAGAAGCGGCUCUUGCAAGCAACGAUGUGUCUCUGCAGAGCUGGGCAAGCUUGGAUCUGCAAGUACAUGAUAAGACAAAACACGAAACGGAGGAGCACAAUACUGGAUGGUUGAAGGGGAAUGACUGUAGCUCAGUUUAGUUGGAGACCUGGGUAGUUGUACCUCUGGCCCCCUUCCGCUGGGAAUAAGGUCUUCAGGA